rnacentral:rRNA from 1 species
AUUGAACGCUGGCGGCAGGCCUAACACAUGCAAGUCGAACGAGUGGCGGACGGGUGAGUAAUGUCUGGGCAACUGCCUGAUGGAGGGGGAUAACUACUGGAAACGGUAGCUAAUACCGCCUACCAUCGGAUUUGCCCAGAUGGGAUUAGCUAGUGGGUGGGGUAACGGCUAACAUAGGCGACGAUCCCUAGCUGGUCUGAGAGGAUGACGGGCCACACGGGAACUGAUACACGGUCCAGACUCCUACGGAAGGCGGCAGUGGGGAAUAUUGCACAAUGGGCGCAAGCCUGAUACAGCCAUGCCGCGUGUAUGAAGAAGGCCUUCGGGUUGUAAAGUACUUUCAGCGGGGAGGCGUUACCCGCAGAAGAAGCACCGGCUAACUCCGUGCCAGCAGCCGCGGUAAUUC